AGGACGAACGCUGGCGGCGUGCUUAACACAUGCAAGUCGAGCGGAAAGGCCCUUCGGGGUACUCGAGCGGCGAACGGGUGAGUAACACGUGGGCAACCUGCCCCUAGCUCUGGGAUAACUCCGGGAAACCGGGGCUAAUACCGGAUACGAUCUUCCAUGGCAUCUCGGAAGAUGGAAAGUUUUUCGGCUAGGGGAUGGGCCCGCGGCCUAUCAGCUUGUUGGUGAGGUAACGGCCCACCAAGGCGACGACGGGUAG
rnacentral:rRNA from 1 species